rnacentral:rRNA from 1 species
UGCGUAGGCGGUUAUGUGUGUCAGAUGUGAAAGCCCAUGGCUCAACCAUGGAACUGCAUUUGAAACUGCAUAACUUGAGUAUCGGAGAGGUAGAUGGAAUUCUAAGUGUAGCGGUGAAAUGCGUAGAUAUCUAGAAGAACACCAGCGGCGAAAGCGAUCUACUGGACGAAUACUGACGCUGAGGCACGAAAGCCAGGGGAGCGAAGA